rnacentral:rRNA from 1 species
UGCGUAUACAUGCAGUAGAACGCUGAGGUUUGGUGUUUACACAAGACUGAUGAGUUGCGAACGGGUGAGUAACGCGUAGGUAACCUGCCUCAUAGCGGGGGAUAACUAUUGGAAACGAUAGCUAAUACCGCAUAAGAGUAAUUAACACAUGUUAGUUAUUUAAAAGGAGCAAUUGCUUCACUGUGAGAUGGACCUGCGUUGUAUUAGCUAGUUGGUGAGGUAAAGGCUCACCAAGGCGACGAUACAAAGCCGACCUGAGAGGGUGAUCGGCCACACUGGGACUGAGACACGGCCCAGACUCCUACGGGAGGCAGCAGUAGGGAAUCUUCGGCAAUGGACGGAAGUCUGACCGAGCAACGCCGCGUGAGUGAAGAAGGUUUUCGGAUCGUAAAGCUCUGUUGUUAGAGAAGAACGUUGGUAGGAGUGGAAAAUCUACCAAGUGACGGUAACUAACCAGAAAGGGACGGCUAACUACGUGCCAGCAGCCGCGGUAAUACGUAGGUCCCGAGCGUUGUCCGGAUUUAUUGGGCGUAAAGCGAGCGCAGGCGGUUCUUUAAGUCUGAAGUUAAAGGCAGUGGCUUAACCAUUGUACGCUUUGGAAACUGGAGGACUUGAGUGCAGAAGGGGAGAGUGGAAUUCCAUGUGUAGCGGUGAAAUGCGUAGAUAUAUGGAGGAACACCGGUGGCGAAAGCGGCUCUCUGGUCUGUAACUGACGCUGAGGCUCGAAAGCGUGGGGAGCAAACAGGAUUAGAUACCCUGGUAGUCCACGCCGUAAACGAUGAGUGCUAGGUGUUAGGCCCUUUCCGGGGCUUAGUGCCGCAGCUAACGCAUUAAGCACUCCGCCUGGGGAGUACGACCGCAAGGUUGAAACUCAAAUGAAAUUGACGGAA